AGAGUUUGAUCCUGGCUCAGGAUGAACGCUGGCGGCGUGCUUAACACAUGCAAGUCGAACGCUGAAGCUCCCAGCUUGCUGGGGGUGGAUGAGUGGCGAACGGGUGAGUAUCACGUGAGUAACCUGCCCUUGACUCUGGGAUAAGCCCGGGAAACUGGGUCUAAUACUGGAUAGGACUGGCCAUCGCAUGGUGGUUGGUUGAAAGCUUUUGCGGUUUUGGAUGGACUCGCGGCCUAUCAGCUUGUUGGUGGGGUAAUGGCCUACCAAGGCUUUGACGGGUAGCCGGCCUGAGAGGGUGACCGGCCACACUGGGACUGAGACACGGCCCAGACUCCUACGGGAGGCAGCAGUGGGGGAUAUUGCACAAUGGGCGCAAGCCUGAUGCAGCGACGCCGCGUGAGGGAUGACGGCCUUCGGGUUGUAAACCUCUUUCAGUUGGGAAGAAGCCUUUCGGGGUGACGAUACCUUCAGAAGAAGCACCGGCUAACUACGUGCCAGCAGCCGCGGUAAUACGUAGGGUGCGAGCGUUAUCCGGAAUUAUUGGGCGUAAAGAGCUCGUAGGCGGUUUGUCACGUCUGCUGUGAAAGCUCGGGGCUUAACUCCGAGUGUGCAGUGGGUACGGGCAGGCUGGAGUGCAGUAGGGGAGACUGGAAUUCCUGGUGUAGCGGUGAAAUGCGCAGAUAUCAGGAGGAACACCGAUGGCGAA
rnacentral:rRNA from 1 species